UCUUCAUUCCCCUCACUUUCUCACCGGUCAGAGAGGCGAGAGAGUGUGUGAAAUGAAAAUA
rnacentral:pre_miRNA from 1 species